rnacentral:rRNA from 1 species
UACGAAGGGUGCAAGCGUUACUCGGAAUUACUGGGCGUAAAGCGUGCGUAGGUGGUUUGUUAAGUCUGCUGUGAAAGCCCCGGGCUCAACCUGGGAAUGGCAGUGGAUACUGGCAAGCUAGAGUGCGGUAGAGGGUAGUGGAAUUCCCGGGUGUAGCGGUGAAAUGCGUAGAGAUCGGGAGGAACACCAGUGGCGAAGGCGACUCUUUGGCCUGUAACUGACACUGAGGCGCGAAAGCGUGGGGAGCAAACAGG